rnacentral:rRNA from 1 species
UACAGAGGGGGCAAGCGUUGUUCGGAAUUACUGGGCGUAAAGGGCGCGUAGGCGGCCCUCUAAGUCAGACGUGAAAUCCCUCGGCUCAACCGGGGAACUGCGUCUGAGACUGGAAGGCUUGAAUUCGGGAGAGGGAUGUGGAAUUCCAGGUGUGGCGGUGAAAUGCGUAGAUAUCUGGAGGAACACCGGUGGCGAAGGCGGCAUCCUGGACCGAUAUUGACGCUGAUGCGCGAAAGCCAGGGGAGCAAACGGG